AUUGAACGCUGGCGGCAUGCCUUACACAUGCAAGUCGAACGGCAGCGCGGACUUCGGUCUGGCGGCGAGUGGCGAACGGGUGAGUAAUACAUCGGAACGUACCCUGUUGUGGGGGAUAACUAGUCGAAAGAUUAGCUAAUACCGCAUACGACCUGAGGGUGAAAGUGGGGGACCGCAAGGCCUCACGCAGCAGGAGCGGCCGAUGUCUGAUUAGCUAGUUGGUGGGGUAAAGGCCCACCAAGGCGACGAUCAGUAGCUGGUCUGAGAGGACGAUCAGCCACACUGGGACUGAGACACGGCCCAGACUCCUACGGGAGGCAGCAGUGGGGAAUUUUGGACAAUGGGGGCAAGCCUGAUCCAGCAAUGCCGCGUGUGUGAAGAAGGCCUUCGGGUUGUAAAGCACUUUUGUCCGGAAAGAAAUCGCGCUGGUUAAUACCUGGCGUGGAUGACGGUACCGGAAGAAUAAGCACCGGCUAACUACGUG
rnacentral:rRNA from 1 species